UGUAGCUGGGGGUUUGGGGUUUCCCCCCAAACCAAAAGCUAGUAAGAAAAGAAACUCCUAACUCCUAUUCGAUUAAAUAUAGGAAAUAUAGACUUUUAAGUCUUUCUUUUCUUCUUCUUAUCUCUCACUUUUUUGUAGCUGGUAGCACGACACAUUUGAAGAUUUACCUUCAAAAAGAAUGAUGCAAUAGAGGCCUAAGGAAUUUCAUCCUUGCCCAUCCGCACGACGUUCUGAUCAAGAAAAGCAAGACUGUCCAUAAGCUCUUGGGCGUAUUUUGAAGCUUGAGCAUCAUCAUUGUUUGCUAAGCUUUAUGUGUCAAUUUUUGUGUCAACCCCUGCUUGUGAUAUUUUAAUUUUUUCUUGUGCUUUCAACAUCAAUUUGUUCCUCGG
rnacentral:lncRNA from 1 species